AGCGAACGCUGGCGGCAGGCCUAACACAUGCAAGUCGAACGAACUCUUCGGAGUUAGUGGCGGACGGGUGAGUAACACGUGGGAACGUGCCUUUAGGUUCGGAAUAACUCAGGGAAACUUGUGCUAAUACCGAAUGUGCCCUUCGGGGGAAAGAUUUAUCGCCUUUAGAGUGGCCCGCGUCUGAUUAGCUAGUUGGUGAGGUAAAGGCUCACCAAGGCGACGAUCAGUAGCUGGUCUGAGAGGAUGAUCAGCCACAUUGGGACUGAGACACGGCCCAAACUCCUACGGGAGGCAGCAGUGGGGAAUCUUGCGCAAUGGGCGAAAGCCUGACGCAGCCAUGCCGCGUGAAUGAUGAAGGACUUAGGAUUGUAAAAUUCUUUCACCGGGGACGAUAAUGACGGUACCCGGAGAAGAAGCCCCGGCUAACUUCGUGCCAGCAGCCGCGGUAA
rnacentral:rRNA from 1 species